GUGAAGCCAAGACAGGGGUCACAUGCUCUCUCUUUCGACAAAGAUGUUGUAUAGACGAAGAAAACCUUUUCAAAGAGACAGAAGUUCUCAGGCAUGCCGGGAUCCUGGAUGGGAUAGGCUGUCACUGGAGAAACAAGAGCCAUACUAGGGCCUACCAGAAACCUCUUCCAGUGAGAACAGGAGCAGCAGCUUCUGGAUCAGCUGCAGCUGGAGGAUUGAUUUGUUGGACAGGCCUGUGAAGACGCUGUUGCAAUA